GAUUUCUGGGCUCAAGAAUUUGGCCAGCCACGGUUUCGUGUGUUCGUGCUUUGUUCUGUGUCCAUCCUUCCAAUCGCUGCGACUCAUUCUUCAUUGAGUGGGCCGUGGUAUUGGAUCUUUUACUUUGAAAAAAUUAGAGUGUUUCAAGCAGGCUUUAUGCUAUGAAUACAUUAGCAUGGAAUAAUAAUUUAGGACUUCGGUUCUAUUUUGUUGGUUUCUAGGACUGAAGUAAUGAUUGAUAGGGAUAGUUGGGGGUGCUAGUAUUCAGCGGCCAGAGGUGAAAUUCUCGGAUUCGCUGAAGACUAACUUAUGCGAAAGCAUU
rnacentral:rRNA from 2 species